CGGUUACGCCAUCAGCCUCCCCAAAAUCGGCGGUGGCGGCGGCGCCUGUGGUGAAUGAGCCGACGGCGGCUCCGGCACCUGGAAAGUCGGCAGCGAUGGGAGUUCCGGCCUCAGUUGGAUCUGUAGUCACCGCCAUCGCGGUUGCUCUGUUGUGCAGUGUUUGAGGGCUCAAACGGUGUCGUUUCGGUUGGGAAAGAAGGCGAG
rnacentral:misc_RNA from 1 species